CCAGAAAUAGAUAGGUCGAGAGGAUUGUUGCUUCUACUAUCAUCAUGGAUGAAUAUAUGUUAUUUAACAAGUAAAUAGGCAAAAACCUCCAUGAAAUUGGAAGUUUCGUCAAAAACUCCCUUGAUUUUUACGAAACUUUAAAAACUUCCUGAAAUUGUUAAAAUUUAGUUAAUUACCCCCCUCCGUUUAUUUGGGCUGUUAAACCAUGUGACAUGGCAGUUAUAUGUACAUGUGGCAUCUCCAUGUGGGCUAAACCGCAUGUCACGUCAGAGGAGGUAAAUGACUAUUUUUUUUUUUUGUUUUCUUCAUCUUCUUCCUUCCACAUCUCCAUCUUCUUCAACAUCACCUUCAUCAAUAUUCAUAAAAAAAAAUCCAGAAUUUUUUUUAGGAAACAUCAACCAUCAACACCACCACCAUCUCAAUGCAUUCUACCAACAAUUCUAAUUUCUCAUACAUAGGACAAACCCUUAAAAUUUGCAUCAUCAAUCAAAAUGAUUAGAACACAAUAAUAAACCAAAUCAUUUUUGCUUGUUCUUCCCGAUGAAUUGGUUAAGCAUGCUGUUUCUGAGGGUACCAAAGCUGUUGUUGAUGGAUCAUUGUGUCUCUAUUGAACUGAUUGGAUCUUGUUGA
rnacentral:lncRNA from 1 species